UACGUAGGGUGCAAGCGUUGUCCGGAAUUAUUGGGCGUAAAGAGCUCGUAGGCGGUUUGUCGCGUCGGCUGUGAAAACUCGGGGCUCAACCCCGAGCCUGCAGUCGAUACGGGCAGACUAGAGUGCUGUAGGGGGGACUGGAAUUCCUGGUGUAGCGGUGAAAUGCGCAGAUAUCAGGAGGAACACCGGUGGCGAAGGCGGGUCUCUGGGCAGUAACUGACGCUGAGGAGCGAAAGCGUGGGGAGCAAACAGG
rnacentral:rRNA from 1 species